GUCCUAGCCGUAAACGAUGGGCACUUGGUGUUGGGGGUAUUGAGUCCCCUAGUGCCGGAGUUAACACGUUAAGUGCCCCGCCUGGGGAGUACGGUCGCAAGACUGAAACUCAAAGGAAUUGACGGGGCCCGCACAAGCGGUGGAGCAUGUGGUUCAAUUCGACGCAACGCGAAGAACCUUACCGGGGCUCGAACGGCAACUGCUACCCUUGGAAACAGGGGAUUCUCUUCGGAGACGGUUGUCGAGGUGCUGCAUGGCUGUCGU
rnacentral:rRNA from 1 species